rnacentral:rRNA from 1 species
UGGGGAAUAUUGGACAAUGGGGGGAACCCUGAUCCAGCCAUGCCGCGUGUGUGAAGAAGGCCUUAUGGUUGUAAAGCACUUUAAGCAAGGAGGAGGGUACUGGUAUUAAUACUACCAGGUACUGGACGUUACUCGCAGAAUAAGCACCGGCUAACUCUGUGCCAGCAGCCGCGGUAAUACAGAGGGUGCAAGCGUUAAUCGGAAUUACUGGGCGUAAAGCGCGCGUAGGUGGUUCGUUAAGUUGAAUGUGAAAGCCCCGGGCUCAACCUGGGAACUGCAUCCAAAACUGGCGAGCUAGAGUAGGGCAGAGGGUGGUGGAAUUUCCUGUGUAGCGGUGAAAUGCGUAGAUAUAGGAAGGAACACCAGUGGCGAAGGCGACCACCUGGGCUCAUACUGACACUGAGGUGCGAAAGCGUGGGGAGCAAACAGG